UGGCUCAGGAUGAACGCUGGCGGUAUGCUUAACAUAUGCAAGUCGAACGGGAUACUUCGGUAUAAUCUGGCUUCAGGUUCGGGACAACCAUUGGAAACGAUGGCUAAUACCGGAUGUGCCGUAGGGUGAAAGAUUAAUUGCCUGAAGAUGAGCUCGCGUCUGAUUAGCUAGUUGGUGGGGUAAGAGCCUACCAAGGCGACGAUCAGUAACUGGUCUGAGAGGAUGACCAGUCACACUGGGACUGAGACACGGCCCAGACUUCUACGGGAGGCAGCAGUGGGGAAUUUUCCGCAAUGGGCGAAAGCCUGACGGAGCAAUACCGCGUGAGGGAGGAAGGCUCUAGGGUUGUAAACCUCUUUUCUCAGGGAAGAGCAAAAUGACGGUACCUGAGGAAUAAGCAUCGGCUAACUCCGUGCCAGCAGCCGCGGUAAUACGGAGGAUGCAAGCGUUAUCCGGAUUUAUUGGGCGUAAAGCGUCCGCAGGUGGUUGUUCAAGUCUGCUGUUAAAGCGCGAGGCUUAACCUCGUACAGGCAGUGGAAACUGAGCGACUAGAGUAUGGUAGGGGUAGCGGGAAUUCCCAGUGUAGCGGUGAAAUGCGUAGAUAUUGGGAAGAACACCAGCGGCGAAAGCGCGCUACUGGGCCAUUACUGACACUCAUGGACGAAAGCUAGGGGAGCGAAAGGGAUUAGAUACCCCUGUAGUCCUAGCUGUAAACGAUGGGUACUAG
rnacentral:rRNA from 1 species